GGCGAUCAGAUACCGCCCUAGUUCUGACCGUAAACGAUGCCAACUAGCGAUCCGCCGAUGGAAAUUAUAUUGCCUUGGUGGGGAGCUUCCCGGAAACGAAAGUCUUCCGGUUCCGGGGGAAGUAUGGUUGCAAAGCUGAAACUUAAAGGAAUUGACGGAAGGGCACCACCAGGAGUGGAGCCUGCGGCUUAAUUUGACUCAACACGGGGAAACUCACCCGGCCCGGACACUGUGAGGAUUGACAGAUUGAUAGCUUUUUCAUGAUUCAGUGGAUGGUGGUGCAUGGCCGUUCUUAGUUCGUGGAGUGAUUUGUCUGGUUUAUUCCGAUAACGAGCGAGACUCUAACCUACUAAAUAGUUGGUGCAUACUCUUAGUGUAUACAGCUUCUUAGAGGGAUUUGCGGCGUUCAGCCGAAAGAAAUUGAGCAAUAACAGGUCUGUGAUGCCCUUAGAUGUCCGGGGCUGCACGCGCGCUACACUGGCAAAAUCAACGUGCUUGUCCUACCCUGAAAGGGGCGGGUAAACCAUUGAAAAUUUGCCGUGAUUGGGAUCGGAAAUUGCAAUUAUUUUCCGUGAACGAGGAAUUCCAAGUAAGUGCGAGUCAUCAGCUCGCGUUGAUUACGUCCCUGCCCUUUGUA
rnacentral:rRNA from 1 species